rnacentral:rRNA from 1 species
GACGAACGCUGGCGGCGUGCCUAAUACAUGCAAGUAGAACGCACAGUUUAUACCGUAGCUUGCUACACCAUAGACUGUGAGUUGCGAACGGGUGAGUAACGCGUAGGUAACCUGCCUGGUAGCGGGGGAUAACUAUUGGAAACGAUAGCUAAUACCGCAUAAUAUUAAUUAUUGCAUGAUAAUUAAUUGAAAGGUGCAAUUGCACCACUACCAGAUGGACCUGCGUUGUAUUAGCUAGUAGGUGAGGUAUCGGCUCACCUAGGCGACGAUACAUAGCCGACCUGAGAGGGUGAUCGGCCGGACUGGGACUGAGACACGGCACAGACUGCUAGGGGAAGCAGCAGUAGGGAAUCGUCAGCAAUGGGCGAAAGUCUGACCGAGCAACGCCGCGUGAGUGAAGAAGGUUUUCGGAUCGUAGAGCACGGUUGUAUGGGAAGAACGGGUGUGAGAGUGGAAAGUACACACUGUGACGGUAUCUUACCAGAAAGGGACGGCUAACUACGUG